AGGUAAAUACGUAAAUAGGUAAUUUUCGAACGUCGUAAAUACGACAUAAUGUCGUCGUAAAUUUACGACGACUACAAAUCGUCGUAAAUAAUUCGUUGGAAAAGCCCCUCUUUCUUGUAGUGUAUGGUAAGUCCUCUCUUGUAGUUCUGCUGAUUUUCAUAUCAAGUUCUCCGGAGACAUGUGGUCUACAUUCUUUUGUGUCCUUACCUCUGGUUUGAUCUAUUUCUCGAGCAAGCGGAUCACUGAAAAGAAUGGUGAGGAUGCAGUAGGGCAUGUGAUAUUUAACCCUAGAACGAAACAGUAUGCGAGCUUACCUAAACUGAGAAUGAACAGAGAUUGAAGAAGCUUUUUAGGGUUUGAUCCGAUUGACAAUCAAUUCAAGGUAUUGUUAAUUGGUUAUCCAAGUUGUUCUGAUGAUCAUAGAAUUCUCCAAUAUCAUAGAAUUCUCCAAUAUCCUUUAUCCUUUUUUCCUUUGAAUAAAGGAAUAUGCAUCAAUGGGAUUUUGUAUUUUUUAUCUGCAACAGUUGAUGAAAUGCUUUUGGCAGUCUGCUUUGAUGUUAGGUCAGAGAAAUUCAAGUUUUUGAAAGCAGGAUACAAUUUCCAUUGGCCUAGGAUAUAUAUAAACUAUAUGGGUAAAUUAGGUGUGAUUAGUUGGAAGCAUGAUGGCCACUAUGGCAAAAGCCUUGAGCUGUCUGUAUGGGUUCUAAAGGAUGUUGAGAAAGGGGAAUGGUCAAAAUAUGUCUACACUUUGCCGGGAAAUGAAUUCCUUAACUGCAAUAUCUUGGUUUGCGUUGUUGGAGUAACUGCGACUGGUGAAAUUGUUUUGUCGAUGAGAAAUACAUCUAAACCGUUUUAUGUUUUUUACUAUAAUCCCGAAAAGAAUACUGUCCAACAUGUUGAAAUCCAAGGUUUUGGAGAAUAUUAUGAUAAGAAAUGUCAUAGGGUUUCUGCCUUUGUAGACUAUGUAGAGGAUCUUAAUGUUAUCGAUGCAAAGUUCCUCAAGUCAAGCCAAGGCUUAAACAAAAAAGCCAAAACCACAAAAACUUCGCAAAGCUGCUCCAUCUUUGAAGAACAAACAGCCGACAACCCCAAUGCUCAAAAAUUUUCCGCAAGCCUAGAGUGAGGACAGAUGUUCAUUUGUUGUUGGAGGCCAAGCCAAAUUCAUUUACAAGAGUCUAGCUUGUUUUGGAUUCGUGUGAAUUAAGUGGCGAAUUUCAAACAUGUGGGUCUGUUCAAUCUUUCGAGCCCCUAAGAACAGGUCCAGUAGUGGUCCGUUGGACGGAUUUGGCUCGAGUUCUAAGGCGAAAUGGAUUUAAAAAAAAAGAAAAAAGACCCAAAAUUGACGGAUCGGUCCAUCCGGAAGAGCCUGAUAAACUCGCAUCCCAGACACGUGGCGAAGCGUGAGAGGAUUAUUUUUCGCGUCAUUUUUGGGGAAGGGAAAAUUUUUUUUCCCAAAAAGUCAUUUCUCUUUCCCGAGUUUUUUUAUUUUCUCUCUUCCUCUCCUACGGCGAUUUUCAUCGCCUCCGUCAAAUUCGUCGAAAACGUCAACUUUUGCCGGUGUAGAACCGAGGGUCGGGCUUCCGUGAUUAUUGUCGAAAUAAUGCCAAGCUACAGCAGCGGUUCAUCGGAGGAGGAGGUCCCGUACUGGGAGAGAGCCAUCACGAUGCAGAAAAAGAAAAUUGAGAGGGUUAAGAGCCCGCUCUACAGUACAGGCCCCAUUGAUGGAAAUAUGUUUUAUUGGGAGGCUGCGCUUUUCGGAUCAGCAGGAUCGCCUUACGAGAACGGAGUCUUCAAAAUCGGCAUGCACUUUCCUCCAGAAUACCCGUUCAAGCCACCCAAGGUCUUCUUCAGAACCAAAAUCUUUCACCCCAACGUAGGAGAUCGUGGACAUAUCUUCCUUAGGAUGCUGACUAACGACUACUUCUCGCCCAUUUACACCAUCAAUCAGAUUUUCAUUAAACUUCAUGAGAUGCUGACAAACCCAGAAAUAGGUGAGGGGGACUACUAUGAUGAAGACAAAGCGAAGCUGUACAAGGAAGACAAGGCGGGGUUCGAUGAAACUGCUCGGAAAUGUAUUUUGGAGCACGCUGAGGCUUGAAAACAAAUUCCCUCUAUCUUUAUCUUAUGUUCUGUUGUUAUCCAAACUCUAACUAAGUUUUAAUGUUUAUGUAAAAAUAUUGUAUGUUUUUAAUUUUCUUGUAUUAUUUUGUGUUUUUUAAAUUGUAUCUUUUAAG